GGGGCCGUAGUUCCAAUUGGUUAGAACGCCAGUUUGUCACACUGGAGGUUGUGGGUUCAAAUCCCAUCGGUCCCG
rnacentral:tRNA from 1 species